GCUAGAGUAUGUCAGAGGGGGUAGAAUCACGUGUAGCAGUGAAUGCGUAGAGAUGUGGAGGAAUACCGAUGGCGAAGGCAGCCCCCUGGGACGUCACUGACGCUCAUGCACGAAAGCGUGGGGAGCAAACAGGAUUAGAUACCCUGGUAGUCCACGCCCUAAACGAUGUCAACUAGUUGUUGGGAAUUCAUUUUUUCAGUAACGUAGCUAACGCGUGAAGUUGACCGCCUGGGGAGUACGGUCGCAAGAUUAAAACUCAAAGGAAUUGACGGGGACCCGCACAAGCGGUGGAUGAUGUGGAUUAAUUCGAUGCAACGCGAAAAACCUUACCUACCCUUGACAUGCCACUAACGAAGCAGAGAUGCAUUAGGUGC
rnacentral:rRNA from 1 species